rnacentral:rRNA from 1 species
AUGGUGGAGCUGGCUAAGACCGUCGUCAUUGCCGUCGUGAACCCGCCGGACAAGGACGCCGUGUCGGAAGACGCAAUGGCUCGCCUCUCCACCGCCAACCCAGCCAUCACGUUCCGCCUCCUCCCCGUGCCGUCUUGCGGCAAGGGCCAUUACUCCCACCCGGUCCUGCGCACCAUCGACGUGCUCCGCGCCGCCAACCCCUCGCUGCGGGAGUUCCUCCGCACUCUCCCCGCCGUGGACGCCCUCGUGGUGGACAUGUUCUGCGUGGACGCGCUCGACGUCGCCGCCGAGCUCGACAUCCCCGCGUACUUCUUCUUCGCGUCCGCGGUCGGCGACCUCGCCAUCAUGCUCCACCUGCCGUACUACUACCCCGCCGCCCCGUGCUCGUUCAAGGACAUGGGCAAGACGGUGCUCCACUUCCCCGGCGUGCCGCCGAUCCGCGCGCUGGACAUGUCGACCACCAUGCUGGACCGGGAGAGCGAUAUCGCCAAGGAACGGUUGCGCCACUACACGCGGAUGCCGGAAGCAAGAGGCUUUCUGGCGAACAGUUUCGACUGGUUGGAGGCGAGGGCGCUGGAAGCACUCAGGUACGGCCUCUGCACGCCUGGUCGCCCAACGCCGCCAGUCUACUGCAUCGGCCCGCUAGUCCUUCCUGGACAAACGGGAGGGAGCGCCGGUGGGAGACACGCGUGCCUCGAGUGGCUUGACGCGCAGCCGGAGCGGGGCGUGGUAUUCCUCUGCUUCGGCAGCCUGGGCACCUUCUCGGCGGCGUAG